rnacentral:rRNA from 1 species
UAGCAUAUCAAUAAGCGGAGGAAAAGAAACUAACAAGGAUUCCCCUAGUAACUGCGAGUGAAGCGGGAAAAGCUCAAAUUUAAAAUCUGGCGGUCUUUGGCCGUCCGAGUUGUAGUCUGGAGAAGUGCUUUCCGCACUGGACCGUGUAUAAGUCUCUUGGAACAGAGCGUCAUAGAGGGUGAGAAUCCCGUCUUUGACACGGACUACCAGUGCUUUGUGAUGCGCUCUCAAAGAGUCGCGUUGUUUGGGAAUGCAGCGCAAAAUGGGUGGUGAAUUCCAUCUAAAGCUAAAUAUUGGCGAGAGACCGAUAGCGAACAAGUACCGUGAGGGAAAGAUGAAAAGCACUUUGGAAAGAGAGUUAAACAGUACGUGAAAUUGCUGAAAGGGAAACGCUUGAAGUCAGUCGCGUUGUCCGGGACUCAGCCUUGCUUCGGCUUGGUGCACUUCCCGGAUGACGGGCCAGCAUCGAUUUUGACCGCUGGAAAAGGGCUGGAGGAAUGUGGCACCUUCGGGUGUGUUAUAGCCUCCAGUCGCAUACGGCGGUUGGGAUCGAGGAACGCAGCACGCCUUUAUGGCGGGGGUUCGCCCACCUUCGUGCUUAGGAUGCUGGCAUAAUGGCUUUAAACGACCCGUCUUGAAACACGGACCAAGGAGUCUAACAUGCCUGCGAGUGUUUGGGUGGAAAACCCGAGCGCGUAAUGAAAGUGAAAGUCGGGACCUCUGUCGUGGAGGGCACCGACGCCCGGACCUGACGUUCUCUGACGGAUCCGCGGUAGAGCAUGUAUGUUGGGACCCGAAAGAUGGUGAACUAUGCCUGAAUAGGGUGAAGCCAGAGGAAACUCUGGUGGAGGCUCGUAGCGAUUCUGACGUGCAAAUCGAUCGUCAAAUUUGGGUAUAGGGGCGAAAGACUAAUCGAACCAUCUAGUAGCUGGUCCUGC